rnacentral:rRNA from 1 species
GUUGAUAAUAAUAAGAAGAUCUGGAAGAUGAAGCUACCUCUUAAGAUAAAAAUAUUUGCAUGGUAUCUUCAUCGCGGAGUCAUUCUUACUAAAGAUAACCUUAUCAAGAGGAAUUGGCAUGGAAGAUCACAAUGUGUCUUCUGUCACCAUGAUGAGACAAUAAAACAUUUAUUCUUCCAAUGCAAAUUGGCUCGUUCUAUAUGGCCAGUUUUCCAAAUAGCUUCUGGCUUGUAUCCAUCAUGUAGUGUUGCUAAUGUAUUUGGCAACUGGUUACAUGGGACUGAUCACAGGCGUAGGACUCUUCUCAGUGUGAGAGCGCUUGCCAUUAUUUGGUCGCUUUGCCUAUGUAGAUGA